GUUUUAAUAGUUUAAUAAAAAAAUAAUGAUCUUGUAAAUCGUAGACGGGAUUUUAUACCCUUAAAACU
rnacentral:tRNA from 1 species